AUACUUACCUGGCGCGGGGGAUACCGUGAUCAAGAAGGCGGUGCCUCCAGGACGAGGCCUGUACAUUGCACUCCGUAUGGGCUGACUCCUGCGACUACCCAAAUCGGGGUGGCUCGAGCGCAUAAUUUUUGGUAGUGGGGACAAGCGUUUCGCGCUGUCCCUUU
rnacentral:snRNA from 14 species